rnacentral:lncRNA from 1 species
UGAGGUUCGCCUUCUUCCCAACCUUUACGAGGCUUAGGGUGUGGGUCAGAGAUUGGUUACCUCAUAGUCCGGACAAGGUUGUGAUCAUCCCUGUUUGAAAAAAGCAGCAAUAUAAAAAAAGAUAAAAAGGUGAAAAUGAAUGAAAAGAAAAAUAGAGGAUGAAAAUUAUAAGAAAGCAAGUUGUAUAUAGUAGAUCAUAGCUAGUAGUAUAAUCUAGAAAGCAAAUUAGACGAGGGUGCUAGAAUUGCUUGAGUGUUGUGUUUGUAUGAAAAACUGGUUGUAAAGCCUUCC